rnacentral:rRNA from 1 species
AACGAACGCUGGCGGCAUGCCUAACACAUGCAAGUCGAACGAGACCUUCGGGUCUAGUGGCGCACGGGUGCGUAACGCGUGGGAACCUGCCCUUAGGUUCGGAAUAACUCCCCGAAAGGGGUGCUAAUACCGGAUAAUGUCUUCGGACCAAAGAUUUAUCGCCUUUGGAUGGGCCCGCGUUGGAUUAGCUAGUUGGUAGGGUAAAAGCCUACCAAGGCGACGAUCCAUAGCUGGGCUGAGAGGAUGAUCAGCCACACUGGGACUGAGACACGGCCCAGACUCCUACGGGAGGCAGCAGUGGGGAAUAGUGGACAAUGGGCGAAAGCCUGAACCAGCAAUGCCGCGUGAGUGAUGAAGGCCGUAGGGUUGUAAAGCUCUUUUACCCGGGAUGAUAAUGACAGUACCGGGAGAAUAAGCUCCGGCUAACUCCGUG